rnacentral:tRNA from 1 species
GGGCGGCUAGCUCAGCAUGGGAGAGCGCCUCGUUCGCAACGAGGAGGUCGCCGGUUCGAGCCCGGUGCCGUCCACCA